rnacentral:sRNA from 1 species
AAUAAAAAAUAAAAUGUAAUUCAAAUUAUUUAAAAAAAUUGCUACGCUAAUAUAAUUAUUGCAUAUUCCCGAUCGCUAAGCUGCCCCCAAUAAUACACCCAUUUUCAAGACAAAAUCACUCGAGCCCGAGCACCUCCACCCCUGUCUACGUCCCUGCUGGCUACAUUUGUAAGGUACUGUGGCAUUUGAAAAAAUGGUUUGCCAUAGUAAAACUUUUUCCCCAAGAAGUGUCGUGCUGCGGCAUGCCGUUUGGACUCGGCUUUAAAAAGGAGGUCCCUUAUCAUUGAGAUUAAGCUUGAGUCGGACAGCACUAAUUGAUGUGAGAAUUUUUGCCGUUGUUCCUGAAUCGAAUGUUUGUGGGCAAAAAUAAAUUGAUCUGCACCAAAUAAUCUUAA